rnacentral:SRP_RNA from 1 species
CAACAGAUACUGAGCUAUGGGUACCCACCCAACCCCGUCAGGACCGGAAGGUAGCAGCGGCAAGUGGGUCACUCAUGAGACUCAGGGGGUUUGUUGGCU